CAGGACAACGAGCCAGAGUAUGAGCCAGAUGGACUCCCAGAGGUGGUCAGAAAAGGCUUUGCUGAUAUUCCUACUGGGAAAACCAACCCCUGUGUUUUGCGCAGAACAGCGCUAAACCUAAAGACCAGUGCCCGUCUUGCUGCUCAAAGCCAAAAUUUGUCACCAUAUGGCCAACGUUUACAAAAAGGCAGGUCAGCUAAUUUUGCCAAGAUCUCUAAACCGACAGCUGGUGGCAGCAAAUCACCAAAGGUAGAUGAUACUCAGCAGUGCAAAGCAG